rnacentral:rRNA from 1 species
CCCUUAGACGUUCUGGGCCGCACGCGCGCUACACUGACCGGUGCAACAAGCAUCCGUCCUUGGCCGACAGGCCCGGGUAAUCUUUGAACGCUGUUCGUGAUUGGGAUAGACCUUUGCAAUUAUGGGUCUUCAACGAGGAAUUCCUAGUAAACGCAAGUCAUCAGCUUGCAUUGAUUACGUCCCUGCCCUUUGUACACACCGCCCGUCGCACCUACCGAUUGAAUGGUCCGGUGAAAUCUCGGGACGGCGGCUUGGUCGCUUGCGUCCGACUGCUGAAACUUGAUUAAACCAUAUCAUUUAGAGGAAGGUGAAGUCGUAACA